GCAAAGCAGGUCAUGUGAGACUGGAACUGAUGACUUGCACUGGUCAUGUGAAACCACAGCCCUCCUUGGACUGCUCACUUCUUCUGGAGGUGCCUAAACUUGCAAGAUCCUUGAUUCAUUUGCUUUAACCACGCAUGUAGUGCAUUCAUCGAAGCUGUAAGGAGGCCAAGGUAUCUGCAACUGUGCUGCAGGACCUGUAGGAGACUCGUGAGCCUUUGGAGCAGGACCUGGAGGAUACUCAAGGACAUCUCCAAUGGGGCUGAAUGUUGUGUGCGGACAUCUGGAUUGAGACCUAGGCAUGUUGCUCUGCUUGGCUUCAUGUUUAUUUUUUGUUUGCCUUGGAAGCUGAAGCACCCUGCAUGCUCUCCUGUAUGCAUGCCUGAUCCUGCUCUAGUUGGCACAGUGCCCUCAGCAUUUUCACUGAGUGCUCAGAGCUAACUUCUACAUGUAAGUCAUGGCACUUCAGGCAAAAAAGAGCUUUACACUCGAUGGGUUGGAAGUGCAAGGACUCAGACCACCAGGCCUGUCUUCUCCAGUGAUGCUUUAAGGAAAGAGUGACUUUGGCUUCCAGACUUAGCUGUAAUCGGUGCUUCUGUGCCUCUGUAUGUGCCAGAGCAAAACUGCAGGUUGGCAGCUUGCUCUGACACAGGAACCGUUGCUCCUCCUGUUCCAGUAAUACUUUUUUUUUUCUGGACACCAGCGCUGAGAGGGUUGCAGCAAUAUCAUGUUUCUCAGCAUGGGCUGGGUUAUGUUGCUGCAGCUUUGAGAGACUCUAAAGUAGCUGUCUGUUCUUCUGCCUGUACCUGGUCAUGAUGGCCAUAAAUAAUGCUGCUCACCAUGUCUACGUGCUUUGCUACAGAAGGGCUGAAAAAUACUGAGGCAUUAAAGAAAAUGAUAAAGACAAGUCAACCCUAACUUGGAAGUGUCUGUGUCCAUUCAGGCCUGAAAUCCUUCCAGCUGUAACAUCACUAACCAUAAAUGAGCUACAGAGACCAUCUCCAGCUUCCUGCAGUGGUCUCAGCCAGCUGAAUUACAAAGCUGCUUGGUAGGAUCUGGAUAUGAUUGCAUAUAUAAAGGGCUGGUAAAAAUUAGGUUCUAGAAAUGGAUUAGCACAAUUCAUGUGGCCCACAAAGUCUGACUAGAAAGCUACCUUUACACUUUUGGUGCCUAUUACUCUCAUUUAUUCCUACAGUUUCUGAGCCUGAGUGCUUUGUAAAUCCCAACUACAACGUAAAACUAUAAGUUUUCAUCAUGCUAACGAACAGGAACUCUUAAAAUCAGAUCACAAAUAAACAGGAUCCAAAAUGCUUUUUAUUUCUAACAGCGUAUUUACAAUUAUCAUGUUAUUUUCCUUUGAAGAUGACUAUUAAUAUAGUCAUAGAAACAUGGAGUGUCCAUGUUAAUCUAUUCACCGCAGUUCCUAUCCUUUGAAGAAUUAAGAUUAAAAUUCAGCCGUUUUCUGUAGAAAAUAAUCUUUUCUAUCUGUAGUGCUGUCCUCUCAAAUCCAGCACAAAACCUCUGCUCUUCUCUCAAUAGCAGCUGCUGAUUAGAAUCACAGUUCUGGUUUCCUGAGCUACAAAAUCUUGCUAGUUUGUUCUUAGACCUACUUUUUUAGCACAUUGUAUCCAUUAUAAUAGUGUUGUCCCCAUUUUUAAGAGUUUGUGAUUUUUCAGCAGGCUGAUAGCAUCAUGCCUGGAGACAGUCUCUCAUGUAAAGAAUUAUAAGGUCUCUUAUAAGGAAUUAUGUGGCUUUAAGAGCUGUAUGUAUCAAAAUUACCUGUAUUAAUUAGCUUGUGUUUACUAGCUGUGCUAGUAAAGUGUUCAUAAUAUUGCUUAUCAUGAACCUAGUACCAUUAUCUCUAUUUUGCAAACAACAGAACUGAGCCUCAGAGGGUCAAAACCCAGUGUAGGGCUCUUGAGCAGGCCAUACUACUUUUAAUUUCCCCCUGUCCUUCAAACUGCAGGUAGCUUGGAGAAGGAGCUAUCCAAGCAAACAUGUUUGAUAAGAAAUGCCUUCUGUGAAGCUGCAGGAGUCUUGCCUUGACUGUAAGGCCAUGAUAUCUGGAACAGAGGACUCUUACUUAAACCUAUUUUGCUGCCUGAAGAGCCAAAAUCCCCUGUAUUUUCAGUUUACUAUUCAAACUGGGACUUACAGCUUUUUAGUGAUGACCUGAUGAGCCACAUUCCAUCAUCAGCUGAGUGCCUUGGUGGAUUUUCCCCCUCAGAUGCCGUAAGGAAAGUUCUUCCUGAUUUGACAAGAUAUAGUCUUUAAUGCAUUCAGCCUACAAAUAGGCUGCUUUCUGGGAUUCCCUAUGGAUAACAGACCAGAUUUCAGACCAUGUGGAAGAUAUAAUUUUCUUCAAAUUGCAUCCAGCACAUUAAUGAUGAUAUGCAUUGAGAUGUUUCCUUCCAUUCAUCUUGCUGCACAGUAGUAGAGAGAUGAUGCUGUCUCUUUCUGGUGAGGACGAAGCAGAGCAAUAGUCUAGAGACUUCAGGCACUCAGUUUGGUAUUCAUGUAUUCUUUUCUUUAUGAUUCAACUAAUCAAAACAGUUCUUCCAUUUUAACUGUCUGCUGAAAGUCAGGAUUUUGGGGAGGAUCAUUGAAAUACCAAGUGCAAGAGGUGAUUUUGUUGCUGCCCACCUGCAGCUCUUCAGAGAUUUUCACAGAUUUCCUCUGAUAGCCAAGAUUGAUAAAGUUGUCACCUUUUCUUUUUCCCCUACUUGACUGUAGCUGGUGUUGCAGUGACUCGCUCAAAAUCAAUCAGACCAUUUUGUAUGAUGAUCUUAAUUGUAUUAUCCACUAGCUUUUCAAAUGACUAUUUCUGUCUUCAAGUGUGGCUCACAGAAUGAUUAAUGUAAUUCAAUGAAUUAUGCACUCUACAGAAAGAUAUCAUUUCAAUCCAAGCUAGUUGAACAGAGCACUGUGGUGAUCUGCAAAAUGUUUGCAUUUACAACACACCAGAGACAUUCAAGUAAUAUUUCCUACACAGCGUUCCAGUAAGCAUGACACUGAAGUUCUCUUCUAUGAGAAUCCCUCAGGAGUACAACAAUCUGAUUCCUUCCAAAGGUUUCAUAGAGUUGCUCUCCUCCAAGUACUGAUUUCUCCAGGACCGGCUGUGCUGAAGACUCCAGAUUUGUUAGGCUGCUGAUGUCGCAGAAGCCUCUGCUGCUGGUUGUUUAUUCUAGGAUUAGCUAAAAUUAGAAGUUGACCCUGUGUUCCUUGGCUAAUUUGAAGGCAAAAAUACAGUUUACUGAUUCUGUUAAUCUUUCUGGAAAAAUGUGGUCUCUAAAGUCAAAGCUAAGAAGAUAUCUUUCUUGAGUCAGGUCUUAAAUGAUCUCAAAAUGAAAGUGUCUUUGACAACUUACGUAUAUGAGCAAUAACUCCUGAACAGAUUCCAAGGUAAGUCCUUAACAUGCUAUGUUUCACACCUGGAGAAUAUUAGGAAUUUUAAAGAUCAAGAAGAUGUCAAAGCCUUGUUUUAAGUGCUCGAAAACAGCUGGAUAAAGUCAAUGAGUGACAAACCUUUCAUUUGUUGCCUGUACUAAAAGCAAAUGAAUAGUUACUCUUUCCAUUUUUGAGUGGUCUUUAUACCUAAAAAACAUGAAUACUGAUUCUUUCCUAUCACUGAGUAGGGAAGAUCCAUUACAGAUAUUGCAAGUGUCUAAAAUGCUGAAAUUAAGAUAUUGAAAAAUCUGUUGAAGCUUUUCCUUUAUUUCAGUUUUUUUUGUUUUCUCAGACAGCCUCUGGAAAAAUGUACCUGAAUCAUUGUUUAAUUUUGCUAACUUCUCUGAUACCUCUGGCUGGAAAUGCUUUGAAAAAUAAAAUAAUAAUGCAGUUGAA